GACGUAGGGCGCGAGCGUUGUCCGGAUUUAUUGGGCGUAAAGAGCUCGUAGGCGGCUUGUCGCGUCGUCCGUGAAAACCUGUGGCUUAACUACAGGCUUGCGGUCGAUACGGGCAGGCUAGAGUGCGGCAGGGGAGACUGGAAUUCCCGGUGUAGCGGUGGAAUGCGCAGAUAUCAGGAGGAACACCGGUGGCGAAGGCGGGUCUCUGGGCCGUUACUGACGCUGAGGAGCGAAAGCAUGGGGAGCGAACAGG
rnacentral:rRNA from 1 species